rnacentral:misc_RNA from 1 species
AACCCUUCAAGCAACGCUUGGUGUUGGGCGCUUGUCCCCGCCUCUGGGCGCGGACUCGCCUCGAAAACAUUGGCGGCCUGUGUAUUGGCUUCGAGCGCAGCAGACCCGCGCCUCGUCCCCUCUCCGCGCAGGCGCUCCAGGAAGCGUCACCCCCCAA